UCUCUCUUUUGCUUGUUUCAACAGGAGCUAACUACACCCCAAAGGCUAUUUUAGGAGCCACAGCACUGAGCAUCUUUGGCUUUGAGCCAACUACACCCCAGAGACUCUUUUAAGGGCCACCUAGAAUCACGGCACCUUUGGCUUUAUCAGCUGUCAGUGGUUAUGGAGGCCAUGCAGCCAAGACCAACUAGGAUGCUUGUUGCCAUAUUUCU